rnacentral:rRNA from 1 species
GAUGAACGCUGGCGGCGUGCCUAAUACAUGCAAGUCGAGCGAACGGACGAGGAGCUUGCUUCUCUGAUGUUAGCGGCGGACGGGUGAGUAAAACGUGGAUAACCUACCUAUAAGACUGGGAUAACUUCGGGAAACCGGAGCUAAUACCGGAUAAUAUUUUGAACCGCAUGGUUCAAAAGUUAAAGACGGUCUUGCUGUCACUUAUAGAUGGAUCCGCGCUGCAUUAGCUAGUUGGUAAGGUAACGGCUUACCAAGGCAACGAUGCAUAGCCGACCUGAGAGGGUGAUCGGCCACACUGGAACUGAGACACGGUCCAGACUCCUACGGGAGGCAGCAGUAGGGAAUCUUCCGCAAUGGGCGAAAGCCUGACGGAGCAACGCCGCGUGAGUGAUGAAGGUCUUCGGAUCGUAAAACUCUGUUAUUAGGGAAGAACAUAUGUGUAAGUAACUGUGCACAUCUUGACGGUACCUAAUCAGAAAGCCACGGCUAACUACGUG